UGGAGAGUUUGAUCCUGGCUCAGAUUGAACGCUGGCGGCAGGCCUAACACAUGCAAGUCGAGCGGCAGCGGGAAGUAGCUUGCUACUUUGCCGGCGAGCGGCGGACGGGUGAGUAAUGUCUGGGAAACUGCCUGAUGGAGGGGGAUAACUACUGGAAACGGUAGCUAAUACCGCAUAACGUCUUCGGACCAAAGAGGGGGACCUUMGGGCCUCUUGCCAUCGGAUGUGCCCAGAUGGGAUUAGCUAGUAGGCGGGGUAAUGGCCCACCUAGGCGACGAUCCCUAGCUGGUCUGAGAGGAUGACCAGCCACACUGGAACUGAGACACGGUCCAGACUCCUACGGGAGGCAGCAGUGGGGAAUAUUGCACAAUGGGCGCAAGCCUGAUGCAGCCAUGCCGCGUGUGUGAAGAAGGCCUUCGGGUUGUAAAGCACUUUCAGCGGGGAGGAAGGCAGUAAGGYUAAUAACCUUAYUGAUUGACGUUACCCGCAGAAGAAGCACCGGCUAACUCCGUGCCAGCAGCCGCGGUA
rnacentral:rRNA from 1 species